rnacentral:rRNA from 1 species
GGAUGUUGGCUCAGAAGCAGCCACUCAUUUAAAGAGUGCGUAAUAGCUCACUGGUCGAGCGUCUCUGCGCGGAAAAUUUAACGGGGCUAAGAUACAAACCGAAGCUUAGGCUGCACUUUUAGUGCGGGGUAGGGGAGCGUUGUGUAAGCGGAGAAACAGUAGCGGAAGCGGCUGUGGAGUUUACAGAAGUGAGAAUGCCGGAAUGAGUAGCGCGAAUGAUGUGAGAAUCAUCAUGGCCGGAAACCUCAGGUUUUUGGAGGAAGGUUCGUCCGCUCCAAGUUAGGCGGGAGCUAAGGUGAGGCCGAAAGGCGUAGCCGAUGCACAGACGGUAGAGAUUCCGUCCCCACCGAAAGAUUUAAGCGCAGGGACACUUUUAGAAGGUCGGAGCCAGGUGUUGGUUCUGGUAGUGAUCGAGGGAAAUUUAGUACCGAAGUCCGGCUGGAUAAGAGGCGAGAAAAGCUGCGUGUAUAUCUAAGGUGCCCGUACCGCAAACCGACACAGGUAGGUAGGAAGAAGAUUCUAAGGCCAACGGGAGAAGGGUUGUUAAGGAACUCGGCAAGUUGACCCCGUAACUUCGGAAUAAGGGGUGCUCAUGAAAGUGAGCCGCAGAGAAUAGGCCCAGGCAACUGUUUACCAAAAACACAGGUUUGUGCUAAAUCGAAAGAUGACGUAUACGAGCUGACGCCUGCCCGGUGCUGGAAGGUUAAAAGGAGAUGUGCAAGCAUUGAAUUGAAGCCCCAGUGAACGGCGGCCGUAACUAUAACGGUCCUAAGGUAGCGAAAUUCCUUGUCAGGUAAGUUCUGACCCGCAUGAAAGGCGUAAUGAUCUGGGCACUGUCUCAACAGCCCGCCCGGCGAAAUUGUAGUACCGGUGAAGAUGCCGGUUACCCGCGACAAGACGGAAAGACCCCAUGGAGCUUUACUGUAGCCUAAUAUUGGGUUUCGGUGUUGCAUGCACAGGAUAGAUGGGACGCUAGGAAGUGAGUGCUUUGGCAUUCAUGGAGCGGCCGUUGGGAUACCAUCCUUGCGACAUUGGAAUUCUAACCUGCGCCUUUGAAUCAAGGCGGGGGACAUUGUUAGGUGGGCAGUUUGACUGGGGCGGUCGCCUCCUAAAGAGUAGCGGAGGCGUUCAAAGGUUGGCUCGUCCUGGACGGAAACCAGGAGAGAGAGUGCAAACGCAAAAGCCAGCCUGACUGCGAGACUGACGGGUCGAGCAGAGACGAAAGUCGGAGUUAGUGAUCCGGUGGUAUGUGAGUGGAAAUGCCAUCGCUCAACGGAUAAAAGUUACCCUGGGGAUAACAGGCUGAUCUCCCCCAAGAGUCCACAUCGACGGGGAGGUUUGGCACCUCGAUGUCGGCUCAUCGCAUCCUGGGGCUGAAUUCGGUCCCAAGGGUUUGGCUGUUCGCCAAUUAAAGCGGUACGCGAGCUGGGUUCAGAACGUCGUGAGACAGUUCGGUCCCUAUCUGUCGUGGGCGCAGGAUAUUUGAAAGGCGCUGUCCCUAGUACGAGAGGACCGGGAUGGACGAACCUCUGGUGCACCAGUUGUCACGCCAGUGGCACAGCUGGGCAGCUAUGUUCGGAUCGGAUAAACGCUGAAAGCAUCUAAGCGUGAAGCCGGCCUUAAGAUAAGAUAUCCCACUGAGUCAAUCAGGUAAGACCCCUUGA